UACGGGGGUUGCGAGCGUUGUCCGGAAUUACUAGGCGUAAAGGGCAGGCAGGCGGAUCCAUAAGUUUAUCGUUUAAGGCGUCGGCUUAACCGGCGUAGGGCGGUAGAUACUGUGGAUCUGGAAUGCGGUUGGGGAAGACAGAAUUCCUGGUGUAGCGGUGGAAUGUGCAGAGAUCAGGAGGAAUACCGAAGGCGAAGGCAGUCUUCCAAGCCGUUAUUGACGCUCAACUGCGAAGGUGUGGGUAUCAAACAGGAUUAGAUACCCUGGUAGUCCCUGA
rnacentral:rRNA from 1 species